rnacentral:antisense_RNA from 1 species
AACGAGUUUUAUGACCUAAAAAACCCCACAGGCUGGUCUGAAGAGGAAGACACUUAAAGAUGAAGUGCUUAAUUCAAGGUCACAGAAUGUCGGGGAUGGACCUCCAGAUUUCCUUACUGACCUGCAUUAUCUUGUGGAUACCUGAGUGAAUUCCACACCACCCAUUUUAUAGAUGAAGCCACUGAGACGUGGAGCAACUGACUGAGUAGUCACUGCCCCACCCCUGCCUGGAGCCUCACACAUGACUUCUCUUAGUGACCACAGGUUGGUUGAGGGGUUUAACAAGGCUAAGAAGGUGAGACGUGGUCUUGUAACACAGUGGUUAAGAAUGUGACUUUGGAGCCAGCCUGCUAGGGGCUGAAUUCUGACUCAGCCAUUUAUUAACUGUGUGACCUUAGGGAGGAGGACCUGGUUGAUAGAAGAAUUUAUCUCAUAGUCUUAACAUCCACUGUAAUUCCGAACUUUGAGGACGAUAGAGAUCAGUGGGCUUUGACUGCCCAGCAUGCAGUCUCCAUUCUUAGGUAGGUUCCCAAGCCUGUAAAAUGUAAGUCUUAUGUUGCUGAGGGCCAUCUUGCCACCCCGAGGGGAACGCUGCCUGAGAAUGAAACCAGCAUAAGUAAAAGCUGAGCUGUGAGAUGGAGUGAGAUGAAGGCCACAUGACAUCUUUGGAGCACCUGGAUCUAACUGUGCCUUAAGCUAGUCUAACCCUGAACAUUUCAUUGACAUGGGCCCAGGUUUUCCCUUUUUUUUUUUUUUUUUUUUGGAUGGAGUCUCACUCUGUCGCCCAGGCUGGAGUGCAGUGGUGCAAUCUCGGCUCACUGCAAGCUCCGCCUCCCGGGUUCACGCCAUUCUCCUGCCUUAGCCUCCCAAGUAGCUGGGACUACAGGCUCC